rnacentral:rRNA from 1 species
AUAUACGGCCAUGCCACCCUGAGCAAGACCGAUCCCAUCUGAUCUCAGAAGCUAAGCAGGCUUGGGCCUGGUUAGUACUUGGAUGGGAGACCACUUAGGAAGAUCACUUAGGAAGACCAGGUGCUGUAGGCG